rnacentral:tRNA from 1 species
CGCUAUAUAGCUUAAUUUAAAGCAUCUCACUUACACAGAGAAAAUGUUCACUAAAACUGAAUUAUAACGA